UUCAAAAAGCACAACUUAAAUUUGUCUUGCAGGGAACUAUUUACAUAGCAUUUACAUUGUGUUAGGUAUUCUAAGUAAACUAGAGAUUAUUUAAAGUAUAUGGGAGGAUGUGUGUAGGUUAUAUGAAAUACUGUGCCAUUUUAAUAAGAAACUUGAGCAUCUGCAAAUUUUGAUAUCCUCGGCGGUUCUGAAACCAAUCCCCUCCCCCCCAGAUACUGUGGGGAGACUGUAUAAUAUCAGGAGCUUCAUUUCACAGGUUUUCUUCUACUGGUGCUCAAUUAUGAGAAAUGUAUGAAAUACAGCAUUUAAGGUGCAAGUAUUAGGUAUUUCAGCAUCUUUCUCACUACACCACUCUACCUCAGAUGUCAUGUUUGCUCUUCCAAUCAAUAAUUAGACAUUUACUGCACAUCACAUAGGUGCAGGUAAAAUGUGCCAGGUAAAAUGCAAGGUGAAAGAUGUUGCCCUUAGGAACUUAUAUUCUAGUUUAGAAAGCAACUUAUCACCAAUACCAAAGAAAAAACAAAGUUUAUAAUCAACUUCAGUGUAGAAGGGAAUGAAUGACUAAUGUAGCAAACUGUUUAUAACAGUUUGGAAGUAUACUGUGUAUAAAAGAAUUUUGAACAAGGUCUUAAGUGAGGAGUGGAAUUUGGAGAAAUGGAAGGAUAGAAAGAACAAAAGGAAGAUAGUCCAAGUUCAAGGAGCAUCAUGAGGAAAAGCACAGGGUCAGACGUUAGCUUCCUGUGGUAGAGGAUUGUCAGUAAGGAAGGCUGGCUCCAGCUCCAGCUCGAGUCAAGGGGAAUCAUGGGGGUUGAGGUUGCAUCAGUAAAGUGGGGUGAGAUGAGAACAAGAAGGGGUGUUGAGAAUCAGUAGAAGCUCGGCCAGCUGCUGAUCUCAUUCCAGAUUCUCUCACCAGGAUUACCUGGUAAUAUCUGGGGGGCAUGGGAUGGGGAAUCAAGGCCACACAAACAGCCAUUCAACUCACUCCGGAGAAUCCAUCAAAAUGUCUUAGUUUAAUAAUGUCCCACCACAGUGGUUUUCAAUGGCCUUCUCUAUAGCCUUAUUAUGUAUCACUGUUGGAUUUGUAAAAAGUGGGUCAGUAAGGG